rnacentral:rRNA from 1 species
GUGACGAAGCGACGCCGCGUGUGGGAUGAAGGCCUUCGGGUUGUAAACCACUGUCGGGAGUUAAGAAUUGUAGGAAUGCUAAUAGUAUUUCUACUUGACUAAGGCUCCGGAGGAAGCCACGGCUAACUCUGUGCCAGCAGCCGCGGUAAUACAGAGGCGGCAAGCGUUGUUCGGAAUUAUUGGGCGUAAAGAGCAUGUAGGCGGCUAUGUAAGUCGGUUGUGAAAGCCUUCCGCUUAACGGAAGAAUGGCGGUCGAAACUGCAUGGCUUGAGUGCGGGAGGGGAGAGUGGAACUUCUGGUGGAGCGGUGAAAUGCGUAGAUAUCAGAAGGAACGUCGGCGGCGAAAGCGACUCUCUAGACCGUAACUGACGCUGAGUGUGCGAAAGCUAGGGGAGCAAACGGGAUUAGAUACCCCGGUAGUCCUAGUCGUAAACGAUGGGCACUAAGUAGAGGGGUUUUGAUUAUCUCUCUGCCGGAGCUAACGCAUUAAGUGCCCCGCCUGGGGAGUACGGCCGCAAGGCUAAAACUCAAAAGAAUUGACGGGGGCUCGCACAAGCGGUGGAGCAUGUGGCUUAAUUCGAUGCAACGCGAAGAACCUUACCGGGGCUUGACAUGAUAGAAGUAGGAACCCGAAAGGGCGACGAACGGUAUCCAGCCCGAAACUAUCACAGGUGUUGCAUGGCUGUCGUCAGCUCGUGUCGUGAGACGUUGGGUUAAGUCCCCUAACGAGCGAAACCCUUGUCUUUAGUUGCCAUCAGGUUAUGCUGGGCACUCUAAAGAGACUGCUGUCGUCAAGACGGAGGAAGGUGGGGAUGACGUCAAGUCAUCAUGGCCCUUAUGUCCCGGGCUGCACACGUGCUACAAUGGUUGGUACAAAGGGAUGCUAAACUGUAAAGCGGAGCGAAACCCAUAAAACCGAUCUCAGUUCAGAUUGGAGGCUGAAACCCGCCUCCAUGAAGUAGGAAUCGCUAGUAAUCGCGGAUCAGCUACGCCGCGGUGAAUAUGUUCCCGAGCCUU